rnacentral:tRNA from 1 species
GCAUCCAUGGCUGAACGGUUAAAGCACCCAACUCAUAAUUGGCGAAUUUGUAGGUUCGAUUCCUACUGGAUGCA